UGGGGAAUAUUGGACAAUGGGCGCGAGCCUGAUCCAGCCAUGCCGCGUAAGUGAUGAAGGCCCUAGGGUUGUAAAGCUCUUUCACCGGUGAAGAUAAUGACGGUAACCGGAGAAGAAGCCCCGGCUAACUUCGUGCCAGCAGCCGCGGUAAUACGAAGGGGGCUAGCGUUGUUCGGAUUUACUGGGCGUAAAGCGCACGUAGGCGGACUAUUAAGUCAGGGGUGAAAUCCCGGGGCUCAACCCCGGAACUGCCUUUGAUACUGGUAGUCUUGAGUUCGAGGGAGGUGAGUGGAAUUCCGGGUGUAGAGGUGAAAUUCGUAGAUAUUCGGAGGAAAACCAGUGGCGAAGGCGGCUCACUGGCUCGAUACUGACGCUGAGGUGCGAAAGCGUGGGGAGCAAACAGG
rnacentral:rRNA from 1 species